rnacentral:rRNA from 1 species
AUAAGGAGUCAGACCUGCCCAGUGAAAAUAAUUUUAAACGGCCGCGGUACUCUGACCGUGCAAAGGUAGCAUAAUCAUUUGCCCUAUAAUUGAGGGCUAGUAUGAAUGGUUUGACAAGAGUAUAACUGUCUCUUUAUGAUUAUUUAAAAUUUUAUUUUUAGGUGAAGAAGCCUAAAUACAAUUAAAAGACAAGAAGACCCUAUCGAGCUUUAGAUAAAUUAAUGAAUUAUAUAAAAUAUUAUUAAUAAAAUGAUAUUCAUUAAAAACUUUGGUUGGGGCGACAAUGGAACAAAAGGAGCUUCCCUCUAACACUUAAAACUAACUAGUAUUGAUCCAAAAAUUUUGAUUAAUGGAAUAAGUUACCGUAGGGAUAACAGCAUUAUCUUUUUUAAGAGCUCAUAUCGAAAAAAAGGUUUGUGACCUCGAUGUUGGACCAGAAUAUCCUAAAGAUGCAGAAGUCUUUAAGGGUUGGUCUGUUCGACCAUUAAAAUUCUA